CCUACGAGGGGCAGCAGUGGGGAAUAUUGGGCAAUGGGCGAAAGCCUGACCCAGCAACGCCGCGUGAAGGAAGAAGGCUUUCGGGUUGUAAACUUCUUUUGACAGGGAAGAGCAGAAGACGGUACCUGUCGAAUAAGCCACGGCUAACUACGUGCCAGCAGCGGCGGUAAUACGUAGGUGGCAAGCGUUGUCCGGAUUUACUGGGGGUAAAGGGCGUGUAGCCGGGCUGACAAGUCAGAUGUGAAAUCCGGGGGCUCAACCCCCGAGCUGCAGUUGAAACUGUUGGUCUUGAGUAUCGGAGAGGCAGGCGGAAUUCCUAGUGUAGCGGUGAAAUGCGUAGAUAUUAGGAGGAACACCAGUGGCGAAGGCGGCCUGCUGGACGACAACUGACGGUGAGGCGCGAAAGCGUGGGGAGCAAACAGGAUUAGAUACCUGUAGUC
rnacentral:rRNA from 1 species